ACGUCAAAGACGGACGAAUGGGCAAAUUACUUAAUUAGCUUCUGAUUGUUAGAACUGCCACACAAACCUCUCUUCAGAGGUAGACUUAGCUCCUCGACCUGUUGCACUAAUAAGCAGCAACACUGACGUGGUAUCUAGCUAACCAGAUCUUGGCAGGAGAAAAAAUUUUAAAUUUGUGGACUAAAUUCAUCUACAAACAGCGACAAAACAGCUGGAACAAACCACGACAACUUGCAGGCCAUCACGCCGACAUUUAUAAAAAGGUAAGGUAACAUCAAUGUAAUAUUAUGGCGGGUUAUUGAUUGACAUUAACAUUACUUCCAACUGAUCAGUAGGACUAAGUGCAGGAUUUGUGUAGUCUGUCAAAGAUUGAAAUCUUCCUGGCCCUACAAGACACCAUAAAUUCAUACAAGCCAGGAGUGUAGUGUAUACACUUCCAAACAACAGAGAAAGUCCAAAAAUAGAAAGAAAAAACAACAACAACAACAACUAAAGCUUCCUUCACGGUCCAACCUUUAGACCAUCAAAAUUUAUAAAUCACUGACAAAAACAUUUACUAUGUAGUACUGGGGAAAUCUGAAUAAAUACGAAUCAUAUAACUAAAACUAAAUUAAAUACAAUUUUUGUGUUAAACUCAUACAGCAUAAACAACAGUAACAAAACCCAUCAAAUACUCAUUGAACUAGUGAACACUGGUUGUCUUUAUCGCAGCCAGCACAGAAACACCAGGGUCCCAUUUCAACUGUCACAUUACAGAAGUCAGAGCGUCUUUGAACGCACCAACAAGACGAGUUUUCAAAAUAGCCCCUGCUGGAAAUCAUUAAGUGCUUCACUGCACGUCAACAAACACGACUUUCAUGCGAGAAUGAUGAAAUGUUAAGAUGCUAUGUUACCGCAAGGGAAAUGUUUAUCCUCUUCAGAGAAAAGGAAGAGCAGACAGGAAGUAACCUGGCUGACGGGAAAUUUUGUUUUACAUUGGAUAUACACAAAAAAUGAAAAGAUAGCAGAAUGGAUAUAACAGCUUCAUCACAGGAACACACAAAAGCAACAGUUGACUGAAAGUGAUAAUAACUCCUUUUAAUGUCUCUCUGAUGUCUCUUUCUUUCUGGGAACAAACACUGACUUCACAGUGACGGACCAAACAUUACGGGUGUGGACCAAAACAACCACACGAGACCCUUGAGACAAGGUGGUCUCGGCCCAGUGGGAACGUGAUCCGGCCUCGAUCCGACCCAACUACCAUAAACUACCAUUAACAUGGUCACCGAACACGUCUUCGGUUUAACAUGUUGACGGUUAGCAUGUCGUUGUACAUGCUCAGUAUUAGCUCCCUUGUUCUGCUCAGUGUGUGUGAAGCAGUUUAGUAUUUUCAAGGCGUUUCCUCGAAGUGCAUUCGGCAUUCUGCUGGUGUAGUUCUGCCUGGUAUAUUGCCCAGAUAAUUACCACGGUUAUGAGCAAAUGCCAACUGUGCCGUUCCUCGAUGUUAAAUUGCAUAGCAAUGUGUCUCUCACAGAAACAUGCCCUAGGCCAGAACACAGGACCUUCUUCCUGUAUUUACUUUCUCGCUCCCGCCCGAGACACGUCAGACCAGCAGGCGUAGUGAAUGUCUUCACGUGGUUUGUAGUGAUGCAUUUUGGCACACUUGGAUUUUUCUCCGUGUGAAAAGAAACCAAACCAAGAGGAAAACGCUCCAAGUUUGCAAACUCGUCAACUGAUUCGGACCAGAGCAAACAAACUAUAGGUGUGAAAACGCCCUAACGCAACUCAUGACCAGCAAAGCUCUCAGAUUUGAGGAAGAUUAUUUUUUCCAUCCUGGAGAGAAAAUAGGCGAUAUAUAUAUAUAUAUAUAUAUAUAUAUAUAUAUAUAUAUAUGGAUUAAAGCCACACUUCUCAGUCCUGAGCACCGCCAAACCCACUGGCCUGGAGUCAGCACUCAGCAUCUUGGUAUCUGCUGCUGGCUGGCCUGCCUGUAUUUUGUCAGAUCGUUUUCUGUGUGUGUGUGUGUGUGUGUGUGUGUUCAAUAAUUUAUUUUCCAGAUAAUGGCCUCUCUGUCACAUAAACUGGCAGACUGAACCAACUUGGAUGCAAAAGUGUUGCUGGGUGUAAAAAUGUUUUUUUUUUUUUUUUUUGACUUUACAGAUUUAAUAAACCACUACAACACUGCAAAAUUAACCACACAUACUUAAGAUCUCUCUAUCCUAAAGAUCUCCCAGUAUCAUAAACAAUCAUGAAAUUGCAUACAGGCAUAUAUUGUCUGUGACAUCAGUUUGACUACCUGCUUACCACAACCUUUGGCAGAACUGGAGCCAGAAAAUCCUAUUUUGAGCAAGUGUUGAGGAGCCUGAGUGGAGCUGAGAAAGAACAAACACGCAGCUUCAGAUCAGCAUCAAAGACUCAGUCUGACUUUUUAUUUCUGACUGAGACUUCAGGGAUAUUCCCGUGACUUCAAUGGAGUGGUUUUCUAGUAGCAAGGUUUCCUUUAUUUCCAAGAAUGCCUUUCAAUAACCCAAAGAAAACAGGGUGACAAUAUUCAUUUUUGUAUUCACCAGCUGGAUAAUUAAGAAAGACGCAGUGAAAGUGAAACUUUUUCCAAGAAAACAUAGUAUUCCCUUACUGAAAACCCUGCCUCUUUGCUGUAAAUAGGUGUAUUUUUAAUUGUAAUUUAAUUAAAUUAAUUUAAUAAUGACAAAUAAAUGGGCUAAUUUUAAAUAUUCAAUUUAUUCAAACAAUCCCACAGUUUAUUUUUGUUGACUAAAUUACUUGUCUGAGUACACCAGAUGCUGUGGUUCUCCGUUUUGUACUGAGCGACAGUCAGAAACAGAAACCCAGGACUGAGUGUUCCCUGCCACACCCCGAGGUCUGAGCAGAUGUUAUCGAUACAGAGAGAGAAGAGGAGGAGGAGAAUGGAGGAGAAAUGGCGAGCUGAAACAAAGGUAGCUGCCAGGAGAGAAAAUAAAUGAGAGAAAAUGGCAAAAAGGCAGAGGAUAAGAGUAGAAGAGAGAGAGAGAGGAGAGGAGACAGGAAGGUAAAGGGGGAAGAGAUGAAGAGAAGAGAUGUGGAUGACAAGAAGAGGAAAUGAGGAGACAGAAAAAUAGAGAAAUGGAAGGAGUGGAGGAGAAAUGGAAGAUGCAAGGUGAGAAGAGAGGAUGUUAGGAUAUGAGAGGAAAGGAGACAGAUAGUAGAGGACAGUCAGGAGAGACUGGAGGAAAAGUGAAGGAGAGAGAUUAUUUAGGGAGUAGAGAAGAGGAUAAAAUAUGAGAGGAGAGGGAGAACAAAAGAGUCCGGUCGAAGGAUGGAUUUGAGAGGAGAGGAACAAAAUUAGAAAAAGAAAGAACGACUCGAUCUUUCCUGUCUGCCACAGUAAUGGUUGCAGAAUGUGGAGAAGAAAAUAAAAGAUUUUUCAUUUUUCAAAACAUUGCAUGCAAAACCACCGGCCAGAUUAUUUACGCUUACACAACCAGAAAAUCUACACUCACAAUGAAGUUUCAUCAUUUUAUGAAUUCUUGAAUAAAAUCCACUUUUUCCAACCAGGGCAUCUACAUUCACAACUACAAUGAAAACAAGUUUACCAGGUAGGCCUUAACACAGACAAUAGGUUAACAACACGCUAAACCAAUGACAACAUGGGCUAACAUCUAGCUGUAGUUAUCAAAAAGCUGGAUAAAGGCCAUGCAAUAACAAGCUAGGCCAAGAACGAGACUGGAUAACAUCAAACUAAAGCUUGGGGCAAACCUGAAGACCAGCUGAAACCUACAAAGACUGGACAAACCAACAUAAAGAUUGUAUGUUUUUAGUCUUUGACAGUACACCAGACCACACCCUGAGCGACUGGUCAGUAACAUCUGGAGUUUUGGAGGUAGACGACCACGCAAAUCCCACGAGAACGCCAACUGUUGCGUGUUCUUGUACCAAAACAAACAUGGACGCCAACCAGAAGCUUGCACUGUUUAUAUGCAGAGACAUUUGUGCUGAAAAGGCCAAAAAAGGAGGAAAAAGCACAGAGUUCGGUGAGAUCCUGGAUGGAGAGGCGUGUAGGAGUGUAGAGUCCACAGAGGAAACUGGAGGUGAGUGAACUUUGUAAAAUGAAGCUAACUUCGGGUAAAGCUGUUAAUUUACCGGUACAUCUCCCUGGGGCGAUACACAAGUGACGUCAUCACGAAUGUCAGACAUGUUUAAAAUAUCUUUAGGAGAACGAGUGGCAGCAACUGGAUCUGAAUCAAAUUAAACUCUUUACAUAUCACAGACUUGUAUGUGAUUUUAUCUGCCACCUGUCAACACCAACUGACCCAGACUGAGACAGACCCGGUCCAACUUGGUCCCAUCAGCCGUCACGCCCAAACCACAUUCAUAAUCGGCUCAACAGUCAUAAUGUGUGUCCCCGCCUUUAGCCAAUAACACUCAACCAUCACACGUGAUCUCAUGGGGAAGCAGAUGUAAACAAAACGGAGACUGACGUUUUGCAGUGAGAAAAAACUAAAGCAGAGGGAACGAGUCUGGAUGAGAAAAUGGUUGGGGAGAUGCGGUCAGCAUGGGUUGUCUAUUCUUCAGCAAGAACUGGAGCGGUCUAUUCUCCAGAGAGGAGCUGGAUAACCCUGAACCCUGAACCUCAUCAUGUGCUACCCCUUCCAACCUACAUUGUGCGUGAUUUGUUAAACUUAAACAUGGGGGGAUGGCACCUGCUUGCGGCUGAUCACCGGCACACCUGCAUUCCAUUAUUCAUCAGUCUCCACCGUUCAUAUACCAGGCACCUCCACACCACCGACGCC